AUCCAUCAUUAUAACAGCAUCACUUAUCUCUCCAAACUGGCUAAAAUGCUUCCUAAAAGAUUCUGGAAGGUAAAACACCAUAUACAGUACGAGGUUAGAGGAAAGACAGCAUGAAAGUAGGGAAGCAAACAAAGCAGAUGUACUUAUCAAAAGGGGAAAAAAAAAAAAGUAGACACAAAACACCAUAUACAGUAUGAGGUUAGAGGAAAGACAGCCAGACCUCAUUAAAGUAGGGAAGCAAAGAAAGCAGAUGUACUUAUCAAAAGGAAAAAAACAAAGUAGAUAUCAUAACAUUGGUUACUCGGCAAACUAUUUUGAAGUCAAACCACUGUAAGAAAUUGUCAGUUUCUAAAACAGGGGAAAAGAAUUUGAAGAAACCAAAAAAUUUAUUGAAAAGCAAACAGAGACCAGAAAUUUACUGUGGAAGGAGAACAUUAACUCAAGUGCUCAACUAACUAAAUACAUGAAUAAUUAAAAUGUCUCAAUAUCAUGUUAUGAAUGCAUAUUGAUAAAGGCUGUGUUCUUUUACUGUUUUCUCAAGAUGUUCCAAAGAAAGCCCAAACCCAAAUCCCACCCCCAAAAAGUUAACAGAGCAAGGACCAAAGUCAACGGUGUGAGUGCCAGAAAAUACACGAUAAAUUUAAUAAUGCAAGUACUAUAAAGCGAUCAAGCAAGAGUACAUCACACUGCACCUAAGUAAUAAAUUAGUAAUACACACAACUCAGGAGAAGCAACCAGCUCCGAGUUAAGUUGCAAUACUCUUCUAGCUGAUGCCUCACAUUAGAAACUAAUUCAUCCUAAGUGAAGUAAUCAUGCAUUCUAAGACCACUCUCCUUUAGAAACCUUUUGCUUUUCUUAUAAUCCAGAUAUCACUGAAACUCAUGUUCCGUCAUACUAUAAGAGUUAGCAACAUCAAUUCAGCAAGAAAUUCUUGUCUGAAAAUAAGCAUGAUACUGUAAAAUUCUAAUGAGACAACAGCUGAUACUGGAAACAAAUCUUUGUGCACUAUUGUAUCAACAAAAAAAGAAAAGACAACUUAAAGAAGAUGCUUAAAAGUCCUUUUGCUUGCACACAAG
rnacentral:lncRNA from 1 species